ensembl:antisense Uchl1os ubiquitin carboxy-terminal hydrolase L1, opposite strand
CAACGAUGCUCUUGGAGGAUAGGGACAGAGACUGCGCGCCGCGCCACUCACUUUGUUCAGCAUCUGAAAGCCAAAAGCAAAGAGGAAAAUGAUAAUAAAACUAAAUGAUUCAGCUACCGAGCUGUAGCUAAGGGUCAGCCUUAUUUCUCCCAAAGCGACCCAGCAGCUAUGCUUACCUCGGGGUUAAUCUCCAUCGGCUUCAGCUGCAUCUUCGCGGAUGGCACCUGCAGACACAAACCCGAGGAGCCGAAAAAACAGCCGGUGGAGCCGCCCAGGCUGCUGUUAUAAAGCGCCGGCCUCGCUCACUGGGAAAGCCUGAGCAGGGGAGACGGGAGCAGAAACAAGCAGAGGAGGAAGGCCAAGAGGGCUCGAACUCCCCCAUGCACUGCACAGAAUGGUACAAGCCAAGCCCCCAAACCUUGCAGUCUCACUCGCCGCCCACAUGGAAUCCAUUGUGCAGUGCUAGAGGAGGUCAGAAGAGGGCAUUGGAUCCCCCAGAACUGGAGUUAUACGGUAACCUCGUGGUGGUUGUGAACCACCAUGUGGAUGGAUAUUGAGUUCCAAACGCUGGUCCUGUGCAAGAGCAUCCAGUGCUCUUAAGUGCUGAGCCAUCUCUUUAGCUCUAGUCUCUUAAAAAACAAACAAACGAACGAACAGCAAGGGAGCUGGGUAUGACAACACAUACUAUAAUUCUAGUACUCAGGAUGCUGAAACAGGAGGAUUGCCUGACUGGGAGAUAUAAGGAGAAUCUGUUGUCACCCCCACCCCUCCCCAUAAAGGCAGAAUAAAAGAACGUCCUAUAAACAAAUAAACAAACAACCCAAUAAAACAAAACCAAGAUCUCUCCACCUUUUCUUUGCUUUUUCAGACUUUGUAAUGAGGCCCUUUGGAGUGCAGGAUAUUCGGCAGGACAAGCAGAGAGGGAGACCGUCAGUUCUUUUUUUGAUCAAGAAGACUACGCUCCUUAGCAAACUGGUGUGUAUUAUCUCUUAUGCGAUGAGCCUGGAAAGAGGGCACAGCCACCGAGGAUGGUACAGCAUGGAUGGAUGGUACGCUACAGAGACUUGGGAGCCCAACUGUGAAUGGCUGACUGGCAUGGUAGGUUCAGGGAAGAAUUGGCCUGUGAAGAAAAUGAUCUUGAAAAGUGGACAAGGUGCAGGAGGUAGGAGUGGGUCCUGGGCAAAGCAGGGGGGUGCAUCCCAGCCUCAGGGAAUAGCACAGCAGAGGUCUGUUGAUGCAUGCGAGUGCAUGACCUGCUUGCCAAUGGGCGACCAAGAAUGGGCAAAGCAUCAUGGGUGAUGUGUGGGAGAGGGGAUGAGACAUUCCUUUCUCCCUGCCGAGACUUCCAUUGAACCGAUGAGUUCUGAAUAGUGGGGUUCUGAAUAGAAGAUGUCCCCCCCCACCCUGCCCCACCAGUGUAGAAUCUGAAGGGAGGCAUAUAUUACCCUAUAUUACUCUGUGUUGGCGGCGAGCUAUCUGACAGCCAACCUUCCCAUACAUUUCAUUGGGCAUACACUAAUGACAGGAAGUUCCUUUCGCUUGUAUGCAAGAGAUGGCUCACACGAUGGAGAAUUUAAUCUUGUUAGUUUGUUAUUUAUGUGUCCUAAAUUUUGUUCAAUAAAAAUGAAACACUCCUAUG